rnacentral:lncRNA from 1 species
GGGAAUAGAUUAAAUUUGAUUAGGCGCUGUGACGUGCCAUUUGACCUGUUCUGAGAAACAUAAUAGAUCAGCUUUUCAUUAAAAUAAUUGAACAUUGCCCACGAUCCCUCAGGGGGGGCUGGCGGUGUCUGAGGCUAAUUCUUAUUCAUCUCAUAAGAAGUCAUUACGGUGACACAGAGAAACUGUGUUCUUCGGUUAAUUAGAAGGACUAACUUUGCCAUGGUGCGAGAAAGAUAAUUUCAUUUUCUGGUUUCUAUUCUAGAAAAAAAAACUAAUCCCGGUCAUUUCGCCAUGAGACUAAUCAGCGGGGCUGAAACAAACCGAGAAAUACUAAAAGCAUGACCUAUUGAAGAGGCCUCUUUCAUCGUUCUCCGUCCAACCCUUUCAUUGCUGUGCCUUGUCUCUCGCCUAAUAGCAUCUAUAAAUAUCGUUUCUCUCAUCAAUGACACUUAUAUCUAUACUUUUUCUUUGCUUAGGGCUCCAAAAGACGAGAGCCAUCACCACCACCACCACCAACUCCACCACCACCGCCAUCACCAAUAAAAAAACCUUCAUCCGGCGUGGGGAAGCCAGAGAUGCCCUCCCAUGCUGGGAUCUUCUUCACACACUCCAGGGGUUACCGCUGUGAAAAAGAGACCGACGAGGAGAGGGGAGACAGCCGCUCUCAAACACCAUGAUGCGACAAUUUAACGAUGGUCGCCCCUCAGAACAGAAACAUAAACCAAUCUGAGCCUGUGAGAAGCUUAACCUCGACGAGCCUUCACCCUGAAUUUGACUGCAGGCAAAACUCCCUGAAUGGAACACCUAGUAAAGAGAAACACCCACCACUUUUCUGCAAAGGUUCGGUACGUGAGGACGCAACCAUCCUUCAAUGAAUGGGAAAACAACUUUAGGGUUGUUUCUGGCACUGAGCACCGGUUUACAUCCAGCUGAAUCUUCAAUCACAUCCGUUCAACUGUAUUGACCUCACUGCCCUUUGCCCUCUCAUACAAUUUUGGCCACUGUG